rnacentral:rRNA from 1 species
AGCUCCAAUAGCGUAUAUUAAAGUUGUUGCAGUUAAAAAGCUCGUAGUUGGAUUUCUGGUUGGAAGGGCCGGUCCCGCCCGCAAGGGCGGAGCACCAGUGUCGUUUCUGGCCAUCCUUGGGAGGAACGUGUCUGGCAUUAGUUUGUCGGGUUCGGGAUUCCCAUCGUUUACUGUGAAAAAAUUAGAGUGUUUAAAGCAGGCUUAUGCCGCUGAAUACAUUAGCAUGGAAUAAUAAGAUAGGACUUUGGUACUAUUUUGUUGGUUUGCAUACCAAGGUAAUGAUUAAUAGGGAUAGUUGGGGGUAUUCAUAUUUAAUUGUCAGAGGUGAAAUUCUUGGAUUUAUGAAAGAUGAACUUAUGCGAAAGCAUUUACCAAGGAUGUUUUCA